GUAGUAGUAAACAUUUGUCUGAUAUGUGUCUAAUAACUUUUGAACAGUAGAACACAAACUCAGUUUUCUUUCCAGGGUAGCAAGUCCAUUCGUACUUUUACAAGCUCGUACUAAAGUAAACUUGAAAUACUUACAGUCAACUAAUACAAACAAAUACGAUCAACUAAAAGAACUGCAACCAUUGCAAAUGUGUACUACUGCUGAUUCAAGACUCAUGACCACGAAAAAAAAAUAUACUUGAUAUAUACAUUGCUAUUGAAA
rnacentral:lncRNA from 1 species